UAAGAAGACGGGAGGAUGAGUACAGAUUUACAAAAUUACUUCAGAUUGCUGGAAUGAGCCCACAUGGUAAUGCUUUAGGAGCAUCAAUGCAGCAACAGGUAAAUCAACAGAUACCUCAGGAAAAAUGAGGAGGUGAAGUAUUGGAUUCUUCUCAUGAUGACAGAAAACUUGAAAAAAGUAAUAUUUUGCUACUUGGACCAACUGGGUCAGGUAAAACUCUGCUGGCACAAACCCUAGCUGAAUGCCUUGAUGUCCGUUUUGCUAUCUGUGACUGUACAACUAUGACUCAGGCUGGAUACGUAGGCGAGGAUAUUGAAUCUGUGAUUGCCAAACUACUCCAAGAUGCCAAUUACACUGUGGAAAAAGCACAAGGAAUUGUCUUUCUGGAUGAAGUCGAUAAGAUUGGCAGUGUGCCAGGCAUUCAUCAGUUACGAAAUGUAGGUGGAGAAGGCGUUCAGCAAGGCCUAUUAAAACUACUAGAAGGCACAAUAGUCAAUGUUCCAGAAAAGAAUUCCCAAAAGCUCCGUGGAGAAACAGCACAAGUUGAUACAACAAACAUCCUGUUUGUUGCAUCUGGUGCCUUCAGUGGUUUAGACAGAAUCAUCAGCAGGAGGAAAAAUGAAAAGUAUCUUGGAUUUGGAACACCAUCUAAUCUGGGAAAAGGCAGAAGGGCUACAGCUGCUGCAGACCUUGCUAAUAAAGUGGGGAAUCAAAUACUCACCAAGACAUUGAAGAAAAAGUUCGAGGUCUGAUUGAGUUUGGCAUGAUUCCUGAGUUUGUGGGACAGUUGCCUGUGGUGGUUCCAUUGCAUAGCCUAGAUGAGAAAACACUUGUACAAAUACUAACUGAGUCAUGAAAUGCUGUUAUUCCUCAGUACCAGGCCUUAUUCAGUAUGGAUAAGUGUGAACUGAAUGUUACUGAGGAUGCUUUGAAAGCUAUAGCCAGAUUGGCACUGGAAUGAAAAAUAGGUGCACAAGGCCUUCGGUCCAUAAUGGAAAAACUGUUACUAGAACCAAUGUUUGAAGUCCCUAAUUCUGAUAUCGUACGUGUGGAGGUUGACAAAGAAGUAGUAGAAGGAAAAAAGGAACCAGGAUACAUCCGGGCUCCAACAAAAGAAUCCUCUGAAGAGGAGUAUGACUCUGGAGUUGAAGAAGAAGGACGGCCCCGCCAAGCAGAUGCUGCAAACAGCUAAACUGUCAUAUUGCUGUCCUGUAUAUACAGCUUUUCCUUCUUUUGUUUAGGAUCAUAACUGUCUCUACAGUCUGAUAUUAAAGGCAUUGGAUCUAUCUUGGAUAUCAUUACAUGGUCAGAGAAGCCUUUAGGAUAAGAAUCAGAUCAUGUAUAUUAUUGUAACAUCACAUUGAUUUUACAGAGGAUGUUAUGUGGACUUUAAUGACACAGUGUUUAGAGAUAAAAUGUACAUUAUUUUGGUUCAGUUUUUUAAAAAAAACUAUGCUUUAACAAAAUUCUUAGGAAUUCUUUUAAGCAAUGCAGGUAUUGCAAUAACUGUAGAUGUUACAAUAAUGUUACUCCACAAAUGGGAAAAUAAAUUCUUUAAAAUUUAAUAUUGAGAAAAAAAAAUACAUCACUUUGCCUCUAGCAAAUAAGAACAAUGUCUCUUUGCUGAUUCAGCUAUAUUGAAUCUUUCCAAAGCAUCUGCUUCAGUUAAAGCAAGUUUCAAUUAGUAUUAUUCUAAUUAGAACAAUUUCUAAUUUUACAGAUGAGGUUUCACUAUAUUGCACAGG